GCAGAAGAUGUACACAUAAGAGGAAACGCAGCCUUUCUUCUUCCUCUUGCUCUGUGCUGCAGCUCCUAUGCUCAGUCAGUAUGUUCAGAUUGCUGGAUUCGACCCAGAAGAAGAAAAUGACCUCCUCACUGGCGAAUGCAGUUGGCUGAAAUUCAGACGAUGUGAUGCCGUAUUGAUCUAAAAGACGAGAGCAAGUCAAUCUUGCUGAAAGCCAGAGGUGGUGGUGAUCCUGGAGACUGACCCAAAAGGUUGGAAUUCACGUCUGCUGUUUGGGUGUCCGCCUUGACUCAGGAUGCCGUCUGACGCUCGACACCAGACGGCGACGUGCUCGAUUUCGCAGAAACGACUGGGUGUAAUGGUGCCAGAUGCCGAUUAGCAACUGUGGAACGAGUGAUUUCAAGACCUGUAAAAUCUUACAAACCAACUGCUGGUUAUGUGAAAUUUACUGUUACUCAGUGUACACAAGGUUAAUAAAAAGCCAGUGAGCUGAAAUUGAACUUUUAGUGAGGAUGUAACUAGAUUCUAUUUUAUUCUCUCGCUCUCUAAUUUAUUAGUCUUUAUUUGAUUGGUCUAUUUGUUCUGUUCUCUUUUUGUGCACUCAACAAUAAAAAAAUAAAUAAAUAUUAAAGUGGUACAAGUUA